rnacentral:lncRNA from 1 species
CUGAGAGAAACCACUGGGGAGGGUCUGGGGCCCGGGAUUUGGAAUCAGUGGCGUGAGAAGGGGCAGUGGGAGAACUGAGCGAGGAGCAGCUGCGGGAGGACCCCGCGGACUCCUGAGAACCACCUUGGGGGAGCGGGGGCUUGGGGAGGUGUAGGGUGGAAUCACGAGAAAGCUCUGUGGGAGGGCCUGGUGCACAGCUAAGCUGCAGGGUGGAGCUGAGGGAAAGCCAGGCGGUCCCAGAGGAGGAGAAGGGCGGGGUUGUGGCAAAGCGCUGUGGGAGCAGAUGGGGCGGGGCUGCGGGAAAGAGCUGGAGGAGGAGGAGCCACGCUGAAGUAACGCUGGCAUUGAGAUGCACCUACUUCUCCCUGGAGAAGCUCGAGGAAGCAGGAAUACUGAAGAUGAGGGCUGUUUUGGACUCAGUAUUCACCUAA